UCUCCUUUUGUUUGACUCUCUUUGGUACGUAAAUACCGUUAGCGCAGUACGUCGUGAACAGUAGACCGUGCAAGUUUGGGCAAAUAGAAAACGGCAAAAUAAUAUAUCAAAACGGAAAAAAGAACCGAAAAUAAAAACUUAAAACAAAAGCAAACUUUUCACUCAAAGUACGCCAUAAAAAUGGCUGAGUCGGAUGCAUAAGCUAUGCUAAUUCUUUAACACAUACAUAUAUACGUAACAAUACAGCAAAACACUUAUCAUAAACCGUUUCAAGCGGUAUAGCUGUCUGUUACAUAAAUCUCGGCGUAUGUAUGUAUAUGUGAGUGCGCGCGUGUGUAUGCCUCUGUGUGUGUGUGUGCGAAAGGCGCGUGACUAUGUGCGUUAAUGUAUAACUAGCAACAAAAUCGACAAUUAUAACAACAACAAUUAGCCAUUGUUCGCUUAAAUUGUCAAGUGUCAAUUAAAACAAUUAACGAAAGCAUAUUACGCAUACGCAACGUAAGCAGCCUUUGAAGAGCAUCUUAAUAAACAACCAAAAACAACAACAAUUACACAAUGUUCGUUGCCCAUUUCAACAAUAUCCAAUCUACUUACCAAUAAUAAUGCAAUUAACAACUAAAACAUACACAAAUAAACGAUACUUAACACAAUAAACACACUCAGCCAACUUAACACACGAACAUUAGAAGUAGAAUUAACCUGGUCCAACAAUUACAAUCAACAAACAA